rnacentral:rRNA from 1 species
UUGCACGCUGGCGGCCUGCUUUACCCCUGCACGUCGAACGGUAACAGGCCUUCGGGUGCUGCCGAGUGGCGAACGGGUGAGUAAUGCAUCGGAACGUACCCAGAGGUGGGGGAUAACGCAGCGAAAGCUGUGCUAAUACCGCAUGUGAUCUGAGGAUGAAAGCGGGGGACCGAGCAGCAAUGUUUGGCCUCGCGCCUUUGGAGCGGCCGAUGUCGGAUUAGCUAGUUGGUGGGGUAAAGGCCUACCAAGGCGACGAUCCGUAGCUGGUCUGAGAGGACGACCAGCCACACUGGGACUGAGACACGGCCCAGACUCCUACGGGAGGCAGCAGUGGGGAAUUUUGGACAAUGGGCGCAAGCCUGAUCCAGCAAUGCCGCGUGCGGGAAGAAGGCCUUCGGGUUGUAAACCGCUUUUGGCAGGAACGAAACGGUGUCCGCUAAUACCGGGCGCUAAUGACGGUACCUGCAGAAUAAGCACCGGCGAACUACGU